AAGUCGUAACAAGGUUUCCGUAGGUGAACCUGCGGAAGGAUCAUUAAAAAGGAUUCCAGGGUCUUUCUAGGCCCUGGCCCUAUUCAGUACUUGAGGAAUUUACUUUCAGGAAUAUGUUGAAUAUUUUUUUUUUUUCAUGUUUCGAGGAGAAAUGAUUCAGGAUCUGGAUUUCCCAGGGCCCUCCCCACCUCUCGGUGCGGGAGGGUCAAAAACACCCCUUGUGUGCAUUGCAUUUGGAAAACAUAUGGGGGGAAAACAGAAAAGAAUUUGUUUUUCUUUUUCUUUUUCCCCUCGUUCCUUAUCCAACUCACUCGUUUUUAAAAUGAACAUCAUAUAUAUUAUUUAUAAUUUAUUAUAAUUAAAAAACAACUUUCAACAACGGAUCUCUUGGCUCUC
rnacentral:misc_RNA from 1 species